rnacentral:sRNA from 1 species
CUGCGUUAGGGAUUGUAGCGGCAUCCUUUUUUCUUUUUCUGAAAAAAGAUAUAGCGAAAAGCCCGACCACGC